rnacentral:rRNA from 1 species
GGAGGAAAAGAAACUAACAAGGAUUCCCCUAGUAACGGCGAGUGAAGUGGGAAAAGCUCAACUUUGUAAUCUGGCUGUCUUUGGCAGUCCGAGUUGUAGUCUAGAGAAGUGUUAUCCGCGCAGACCCUUAUAGAUUUCGGUUGGAAUGCCAAGUCAAAGAGGGUGAGAAUCCCGUAUUUGAUAAGGUGGUCUUGUGCAUUGUGAUACAUUUUCAAAGAGUCGAGUUGUUUGGGAAUGCAGCUCAAAGUGGGUGGUAAAUUCCAUCUAAAGCUAAAUAUUGGCGAGAGACCGAUAGCGAACAAGUACCGUGAGGGAAAGAUGAAAAGCACUUUGGAAAGAGAAUGAAAUAGUACCUGAAAUUGCUGAAAGGGAAACGAGUGAAGUUAGACUUGCGCAGUUGGUAUUCAGCCUUGGCUUCGGUCUUGGUGCAUUUGCCUUCUAUUGCAGGCCAACAUCAGUUUACUUUGCGGUAAAAGGGUUUGGGGAAUGUGGCUUCUUCGGGAGUGUUAUAGCCCUUUACUGGAUGCCGAAUCGUAGACUGAGGAACGCAGCGCGCCUUUAUGGCAAAGCUU